rnacentral:tRNA from 1 species
AGGGACGUGGUCUAGUCUGGUGUAAGAUUCCCGGUUCGGGAUCGGGUGAUCGGGGGUUCAAAUCCCCCCGUCCCUA